rnacentral:rRNA from 1 species
GAUGAACGCUAGCUACAGGCUUAACACAUGCAAGUCGCGGGGCGAGCAUUUCUUUUAGUCUUGCUAAGGAAGAUGGCGACCGGCGCACGGGUGAGUAACGCGUAUCCAACCUGCCCUUGUCCACGGGAGUAAACCCGGUGAAAACCGGACCUAAUACCGUAUGAGGUCACAAGCGGACAUCCAACUGUGACGAAAGGUUUAGCGGACAAGGAUGGGGAUGCGUCCGAUUAGCUUGACGGCGGGGUAACGGCCCACCGUGGCUACGAUCGGUAGGGGUUCUGAGAGGAAGGUCCCCCACAUUGGAACUGAGACACGGUCCAAACUCCUACGGGAGGCAGCAGUGAGGAAUAUUGGUCAAUGGACGGGAGUCUGAACCAGCCAAGUAGCGUGCAGGAUGACGGCCCUAUGGGUUGUAAACUGCUUUUGUGCGGGGAUAAAAGUGUGGGACGUGUCCCAUAUUGCAGGUACCGCAUG